GGUAGCUCAGUGGUAGAGAGCUUGCCUUGCAUGCAUGAGGCUCUGGGUUCGAUUCCUUAGUACCA
rnacentral:tRNA from 1 species